CUGGGAGAUGACGCGAAUGCCGCGCUGAAGGGAGUCGUGGAGUGUAGCCAUGGCGUGCGGCGGCCGAAGGCCGGAGCACCGCGGGCCCCCUGAACUGUUUUACAACGAGGACGAAGCCCGGAAGUACACUCACAACUCACGCAUGAUUGAGAUCCAGACCCAGAUGUCCGAGCGGGCAGUGGAGCUGCUGAGUCUGCCCGAGGACCAGCCCUGCUUCCUGUUGGACGUUGGCUGUGGCUCGGGGCUCAGCGGCGACUUCAUCUCGGAGCAGGGGCACUACUGGGUGGGCAUUGACAUCAGCUCCGCCAUGCUGGACGUGGCUGUGGAUCGAGAAGUGGAGGGAGACCUGCUGAAGGGGGACAUGGGGCAGGGCAUUCCCUUCCGGCCAGGCUCAUUCGAUGGCUGCAUUAGCAUCUCCGCUGUGCAGUGGCUCUGCAACGCCGACCAGAGAACACACAACCCCGCCAAGCGCCUGCACCGCUUCUUUUCGUCCCUUUAUUCUGUGCUGGCCCGAGGAGCUCGAGCGGUCUUGCAGCUGUAUCCGGAGAAUGCCGAGCAGCUGGAGCUGAUCACAACCCAGGCGAUGAAGGCCGGCUUCACUGGAGGAAUGGUGGUGGACUUCCCCAACAGCACGAAAGCUAAGAAGUUCUUCCUCUGUCUGUUUGUUGGGCCUUCGGGUGUGCUGCCCACGGGCCUGGGCACUGAGUGUGGAGAUGAACAAGAGAGGAAAGAGACCAAGUUCUCCAAGGAAAGGUUGUCAGAACAGAGCCCUGUCAUGUUACAGGUGGUGAAACUGAGGCCCAAGGAGGGUGGGGCGUGCUCAGGUGACAGGUCUGGGGCAGUUCAGACCGAGCCUGGCCUCUUGGCUCCUAUUCAGGAUGCGGUAUAAGACGGCGAAGGGGAAGUCGCUGAAGAAGAGCCGGGACUGGAUACUGGAGAAGAAGGAGCGGCGGCGGCGGCAGGGCAAGGAGGUGCGAGCUGACACACGUUACACGGGCCGCAAGCGGAGGCCCCACUUCUGAGCAGCUGCUCUCGUCCUCUGGACCCGGCCCCGAGCUCGGCCCCGUUGCCCUUUGGGACGCUCGUCUGCUGCUUGUCUGCCACGGUCCGGCGGCUGUGGCCCCCAGGAGCCCCCCAUUGGUUCCCCAAGGCUUGUGGCUCUCCAUUUGUGCCUUAACUUUGCUGACCCAGGAGAUGGUGACUGGCUCUACCUUCUGUCAAGGGGCGCGUGGGGCUGGAGGCCUGGGACAGGCCGGCUCCUGGUCCGAGGCUUGUGUUUGCAAGAGCCUGCCCCGCCCUGAAAUGGCAUCCUGGGCACGGGGUGGGGGGCUUGGGGAGAGCAAGGUUCCUGCAAGAAAAGACUCAGAUCGUUUCAUCUUAUUUUUGAAUAAAAUACAGCUUUGCAAAAGUGA